AUGCAAUAAAAAGAGCGAAAACCUUAUUAUAAAUAUAAUUUCUUCUGUAAUCGUACAUGAAAUGAAAACCAGACUGAAAAUAUUCGUCUCGACUCAUAGAAAAUUCUCGAUUGUCGAUUCAAGUGGUGUUGGAUAUCACUACAUUAGUGACAGUUGUGUCCUUUGAUCAAUAUAUUUUCUUUUCUUGCUUCAGUACAUCUGUUCCAGUGUUGACAAACAAUGCGAAAAUGAUUUAAAAUCACUCAAAAAUCUACAAAAAUGUAUGUGUAAACGAUUCUAAACCACUGUCCAACCCCGCCAAUUUACAAAUCAGCAAAAUGACUUAUGACAUCGAAUGCUACAUAGGCAACUUGCCUACAGAAGUCUUGCUGUUUAUUUUCUCGUUACUAUCUGCGCAAGACCUUACGGCAUGCCGCCGAGUGUGCUCAAGGUGGAAGAUGAUAGUCGACGGGAUGUCCAGAAGCGACCAUCUAUGGCGAAUGCACUGCAGACGGGACUUUAGGAACAUCUAUGAGAUAGCCAGAGUCAAAGCGCGACCUGGGGUUUUGUGGUUCCAUAUUUACCGCUCUUUAUCUCUUUGGUCGAAGCUUUCGCAAGCCAGGGAGCAGCGAGAUGAGUUCGCAGCAGCUUCCGGUAUUAGUGAGGAAAUACAAAAUUUCAAAAUACUUAGAGACGGCAUCAUUGGAGUUCAUAAAAAGGGAGCCAUAGUGUACUAUGAUAUUGACACGUUGGAAAUAUCGAAACGUUCAAGCAUUACCGGUGAUUAUUUAAGAUAUACGGAAAACGAUGAUUAUAUCAUCAUACUCAGCUAUCAUCUGCACUUGUUUAUUAUCCGGAAAGCAAUUCAAAAUCCUAAAUAUGAAACAAAUGUAACAUUUGACAAUGUGAAGUCAUUUAUAUUGGCCAAGAAUAAAGUAUACUAUGUCACAUUAGAAGACCAGAUAUAUGUAUGCCCGUUAGAGGAUGGCAGUCUCAGAGAGCAGUAUAUAACCAACUCAUCAGAUGGUGUCAUGUGUCUAGGUUUUACUGAUAUGCUUCAUGUAUUAACCUUCCAACGUAACAUUUACACUGUAGUUAACGAUAAUAACCUCCAUUUCACCUGUAGUAUUGAUUCCGACUCGAAUCUGCUGCACCAGCUAAGGGAAUACAAUUUUUUAGAAUGCAUGGAUUGGCGAGUCUACAUCCAGUGGAUGUAUGUCCUGAACCACACUAUACCUGAAGGUCCGUUGCGUGACAUAGUAGUUGUCCGGGUAUAUGGUGAUGUUGCAUUUGUCGGUUCCAACUGGGGUGUGCUACGUAUUUACUAUGCACCAUACAACGGUGACAGUGAGUUUGAUUUGUUCAACUCCGAGCCAGUGAAACAGUACAACUUUAUGGAGAGGUAUGACUGCCCAGUGUUAUCGAUGUGUCCAAUCAUACAGAUUGACGUGAUGGAAGGUGAAGCUGGUCAUACAGUGAUUGUGGCGAUGCCGAAGAAGAUAGCAGUGCUGGAGUUUACACACAGUUUCAAACGAACCGCCUCCGUGGCUAUGCUGCCGUACAGUGAUACACAGAAGGUAAAAGUGUUGAAGAUUGACGAUCAUUAAGAAUUGACUACAUUUUAGUUUAAAUUAUGCCUCAGUAGAGUCAGACCAAGAUAAGUCGGCAGCGAAUCAAACUUUUAUGAAAUUAUGAUGUUUACUUAACACAUGCACAGGCUGGGCUAUCAAAAUCGUUGCGAUUUUAGCUUGAUCUGACUCAACCAUAUAUUGAAAACCAACUGGCGAAUAGGCGAGCGAACAGAGCGAGCGAGCGAGCGAGCGAGCACGUACAGGCGAGGCAAAUUCCUCAUGCACAAACCAGCCAGUGUAGACGUGCCUCGGCCGAGCCGGCGCGUGCGUUAUCCUCGCCCGAGCGCGCUGCCGGCCGAGGCACGUCUACACUGGCCUGUUUGUGCGUGAAGAAAUUGCCUCGCGCGUAUGCUCGUUCUGUGUGGACCUGGCUAAUAUCAAAUGUCAAUAUUGUGUUACGCCUAGAAUAGAUUGUGUCAGAGCAAAAAAAAUUACAUUUUAAUUUUUUUAAAAUUUGUCACAGACACUAAAGCACUAUUUGAAACUAUGUUUCAAGUCUGAUUGCUGCAAAAUCCACUACUGUUUGACUGGAUUCAAAGUAAAACAGGGUGUCCGAGCCGGCGCGUGCGUUUUCCUCGCCCGAGCGCGCUGCCGGCCGAGGCACGUCUACACUGGCCGGUUUGUGCGUGAGGAAAUUGCCUCGCGCGUAUGCUCGUUCUGUGUGGACCUGGCUAAUAUCUAAUGUCAAUAUUGUGUUACGCCUAGAAUAGAUUGUGUCAGAGCAAAAAAAAUUACAUUUUAAUUUUCUUUAAAUUUGUCACAGACACUAAAGCACUAUUUGAAACUAUGUUUCAAGUCUGAUUGCUGCAAAAUCCACUACUGUUUGACUGGAUUCAAAGUUAUACAGGGUGUCUCGGAAAUAGUAAAAGAACUGAAAUGUAAAUUCCAAUAAAUUUUGCUUUUACUAUAGUGUAAUAUCACUGAGCAUAUUUGCAAACCAAUGUUCCAAAAAUAUAUUUCUAUUUGUUGUAAAUGAAAUGUUGGCAUGUAAAGAUGUUUGUGAACUCGACCACACCAGUAAAGCUUAGAAGUAUUAAACUUACUACUUAAUCCCAGUUAUAGAUAUGAAACUGUCUUUGCGGCACCAUGUAUAAUGUGUAUCCUACCCUCUUAUUCAUAAAGGUCUACUAAAGUUGACAAGCCGCUAAUAAUCGUUUAUCCCUUUCCAUCAUACUGAUACGUCGGAAAGGGACAAACGAUUAUUAGCGGCUUGUCAACUUUAGGAUAGAAAUAGGGGGAUAGUCUUUUAUUUCAUUAUAGUUACAAAUUUGUUUUGUUGUAGGGUAUUUAUCUAAAUCCAUUGCUGCAGGUCCAUUGUAGAAUCAGAUUGUACUUGUACAAUUACGCUUUAUAAUAACAAGAAAUUUAUUUAACAUAAAUAAGUCCUUAAUCUUGUGACAACAAAAUUUUAUUAAAAACAGAAAAUACAAUGUAGGCUCGUUUUAAAAUAAAAUAAUCCUGUUCUUGGUACCCGCACGGAAUAAAUACUAGUACCUACUACCGUACAGAAAUGACACUUCCUACAAAAUCUGUCAAAAUCCUGUAUUUUUCUAAUGUAUGGCCAAACCUUUUUUUUUUUUUUUUUAUGGAGAAUAGGCAGGCGUUUGACCACGAUCACACCUUAGGCCAUUUAGGGUUGUCAAAAUUCAAAUCAUUAUCUUAUCAGUGGUCGUGCUCGCACAGGGAUGUCAAGUUGUGCCAACGUUAAUAAAUGCUCGGAGCAAUGCUGAUCCGAGCAUGCCCGAAAGGAGGAAUGUCGCCCCCCUGGUACCAGUGUUAUAAUAAAAUUAGUACAAAGGGUCGAAAGAAAUAUACAUGAACUCUUUAUGGCCCUGUACACGUACAAAGUCCAUAAAUAUGUGGGUAUUUAGUGAUUCUUUAUAACACCCCUGCCUUAAUCCCACAUUCCUGGAGUCUAUUUCGGUCCCCACACAUGUUAAGCUUGUGUGUGAGAUUUGUUUGUUAACUCCUUAAUCGGUAAUUUUCAAUGCCGAAUAUACCUUUUGUACAUCUUUGUACAGUCAGCUUAGCUAAUAGUUUUACUGACUGUAUACAGAGUGACAUAUGAGAGGUCAAAAAUGUUUAAUAUACAGUACAUUAAAAAAAAACCUAUGUACUUGUUUUAAAUGUAUCUGUAAUUAAAAAAAAACUCGUACAGCUGCUACUACUUUUUGCAAAAAUGAAAUUUUUUUUUAUCACGUUUUAUGUCACUUAAUGUAAUUUUGUUUUAUAAAGUUUGGAAUGCGGAUACGUCUUAAAUUGUGUUUCUGUACCCCUAGUGUAAAUAAAUUCGAUUUUGAAACGUGACGUACGCGUUUGCGUUUAGUCUCAUUUUGUAUUGGAUUUAGAAAGAGCGCGCCAAGCGGGACGUUUUGGAAACUCAAAAUCCUAUACAAAAUGAGACUUAACGCAAACGCGUUCGUCACGUUAUGAUGUCGAUAAAAUUUACACUAGGGGUACUGUUUGUUUUUUUUUCACUAAUUUAGUAAGUUUGGAUAUUGUAACUUUUUAUACUAAUGUAAUGUAAAUCCUAAGGUCUAAAAGGGUUUUACAUAAAAAACUAGAGCCAGGUAAAGGGCCAAUUACAUCCACACUCAGUAUCGCCCGAUGUCAGGCCCGACGACGGGCCCGAGCAAGAGUAUUUUUCCGUUUCACCAAAUAUCCGCACAUCUUUUACAAUAUUUGACAUGUAAAAAAUACUUUGUCUCUAAUUGCCAAAAAUAUUCAAUAUUUGAUAUUUUUGCACAUAAACCAUUUUUUUAUACUUCAAAUAUUGUUGACGAUGUGCUGAUAUUUCGUAAAACGAAAAACUAUUAUGAGGCCCGAUAUCGGGAAGUCUGGAUGUAAUUGGCUCUUAACGCCUAUGCUGGCGUCAUCUAUAUUAACCUUUAAUAGCUCCUCUACACGAUGGCUCAGCGCUGGACCAGCGAGAUGGCCAUGCGAUGGUUGAAACGAAAUUACACGAUAUAGUUCUGUAAUGGGCCACGUGUAGAUGUGUACGGCCAUCGCUGGCCCACUUUGAUGUGCGGACGAAAAACUGACACCGUGGCCAUCCCAUCGCCAUUCCGCCGCGCCGUAAGCCAUUCGACACCACUACUCUCUACACGCUGGCCCAUCUUAGUGGGGUAGUAUGAUGGCCCAUGGUGUAGGAGCCAUGCCAUGGCAGUUGCCAAUCCCAUUACUGGCUAAAGCGCUUCACACGCAGGCACGCACAAUUACGUAGAAGUGCAGAUAUCUCUACCGUGUCUAACAUAUAGCUGCGUCCCUGUUGUCAGUUACUGAAUUAAAUUAAAACAACGAAUUCAAUCGGUCGACCAAAUGCCGCGAUGUAUUACAAAUCGCAUGUGACUAUGGUGACGUUUGGAAUCGGUUGUACUCAAUAUUAUUGCACAUGCUGUGUGAAACCCUUAACACAUUCACUGCCAGGAACCCACCAAGUGGGCGCUCGUAAACUUUACUCGGAUGCCGGACAACCCGCUGCGGGAGUUCACUGUAUACACAGCUAUAGACGACUAUACCGUCUACGCCAAAGAACCCACCUGGUGAGCGCACAUCUUCACAGGCAUAUCGCAGGGUUGACACCGGCAGAUCUAUUUACUUAUUACCUAUAAUAUUAUUUAUAGACAAUAUAGACAUGGAUCAAUUAUUUUUUAAUAUCUUAUAUUACAAAUUUGAGACUAACCUAUGUAUAUGCACGACCCGAUAAUCCGCGUCAAAUUAUAAUUAAUUUUGGCCGCGGAUUAAAUGGUUUAAUUUAUAUGUAAUUUAUGAUUACUUACAUUAAUAAUUCCUUUGUAAAUGCACCACGUUGUGAAGGGCGUGAGUAGAUCCGUACUAACAAAAUAAAAGUACUAGGAUGUUUGACUAUGACACUUAGCACAGCCCUGGCGCACGCGGGGCGCCCGCCUGGUGGGCGCUCGGCGUACAGUACUGGUUUAAUCAUAAUAUGAGUUUGCCAACCCGCACAGCGGGCGCUUAUAUAUAUUGCCUGGAUCCUGGGGUAGCGUGCCGUUUUUCGUCUGGCAGUGAAUGUGUUAAUACCUAAUUGGUGAAGAGGUAUUUUAUACUUAAUGCCAUUGUGAAGAUACUGAAUUUAGUUUGUAAAACUAACUGUAAAACAUGCAUGCUUGAAACAGAACACCAAAAAUAUUGUUUUCAAUAUUAAGUUAAGUAGUAAUGGGCUCUGUAGAUGCUUACGAUUUAUAUAUUCGGUUAAUACCGAGAGAAAAACACGCAAGAAAGCGGCCAAGUGCGAGUUGGACUCGUCCAUGAAGGGUUCCGUACCAAUUAUGACGUAUUAAAAAAAAACUACUUACUAGAUCUCGUUCAAACCAAUAUUCGGUGGAAGUUUGCAUGGUAAUGUAUAUCAUAUAUAUUUCUUACUUUUAUUAUUCUGUUAUUUUAGAAGUUACAGGGGGGGGGGGGGACACAUUUUACCACUUUGGAAGUGUCUCUCGCGCAAACUAUUCAAUUUAGAAAAAAAAUGAUAUUAGAAACCUCAAUAUCAUUUUUGAAGACCUAUCCAUAGAUACCCCACGUAUGGGUUUGAUGAAAAAAAAUUGAGUUUCAGUUCUAAGUAUGGGGAACCCUUAAAUUUUUUUUUUUCUAUUUUUGUGUGAAAUCUUAAUGCGGUGCAUAUAAUACAUCUACUUACCAAGUUUGAACAGUAUAGUUCUUAUAGUUUCGGAAAAAAGUGGCUGUGACAUAAACCGACAGACAGACGGAGAUGAAUCUAUAAGGGUUCCGUUUUUUGCUGUUUGGCUACGGAACCCUAAAAAUGGCAGAUUAUUCUAAAAAGAGGCUCUUUAUCAUCUUCGCGUCCCGGCAUUUUGCCACGGCUCAUGGGAGCCUCGGGUCCGCUUGGCAACUAAUCACAAAAAUUGGCGUAGGUACUAGUUUUUACGAAAGCGACUGCCAUCUGACCUUCCACAGAGGGUAAACUAGGCCUUAUUGGAUUAGCCCGGUUUCCCAACGAUGUUCACCGAAAAGCUACUGGUAAAUAAAAAUUGGACACAAAUUGUCACGUCUAUAGAGCCCAUAAGUAAUAUUAUGUAUACUCUGGUAAGCCCUCUUUGGCAGUAGAAAAAGGUGCGAAAUUCAAAUUUAACACAUCGCGCCUGCAUUUUUUAACGCAUUCACUGACAGAGCGAGCAACGCGCGUAGCCGAUAACAUGGGAAUACCGUAUGUAGCGAAAAGCGCCUACGAACAGAGAACCCGCCUAGUGGGUCGCUGGCAGUGUAUGUGUUAAAUUUGCAGUCUUUUUCUACUGACUGACAUAGCCUGGCAAACUAUAUCCUAAGGCCCAAGGUUCUACCUAACUAUAUAAUCAGCUUGAUGAAAUUUAAACCAUAUUUAAUCGGAAUAGAGUUGCAAUUGUAUUGUUUCGUUCAAUUUUCAAACAAAACUAAAUCAACUCUAUUCCUUGCAUUAUAGGUUCAAAUUUCAGUAGCAAAUUUUAGAUUUUUCAUUUUUAUGGCUGGACCUUAGGAGGAUAUAAUACUAUGAAUUGUUUCAACUAUUAAUCGAUAAUUUUAUAAAAAGACAUCUUUUUGUUUUACUGUUAGACAGAUUAAUGUUUUAUGUAUUUCGUUGUGUGAGAUACGAUCAUUUAACAUGAGGUUAGGUGGGGUAACAGGAACUAUGGGGCAAGGGGGCACUUGUAAGCAAAAUAAACAGUCAGAGAUACUUAAAAAUAUUUAAAAAGAGAUAAUAUCAAAAAUAACCCUAAUGCAUAAAACACAUUGACUUAAAAAUACCUACGUAGAGUCAAACCAAAAUAAGUUGGCAGCAAUUUUGUUAGCCCAGAUGGUGCACGAGUUAUUUUAAACGUCAAACUUCUAUGUAAUUAUGACGUUUACUUGACACUUGCACCGUCUGGGCAUAGAGAAAUAAGAAGUAAUAGAGUGCUAGAGUCCAUACAUCAGUUUUGGUACCAAAAUGCUUAUUAUUUUCGCAGUCGACAUCUAGCAUCGAGUAGCGGAACUCUCAGUACUGCUACUCGACAAUACGAUUCAACUCCUACGAUUACUCUGGUUAUAAUAUUAGCGGAAAAUCGUUGAGCAUUACUUUUUGGGUGCCGCGAUAUCUAUUGUCGAGUAGCAGUACUGAGAGUUCCGCUACUCGAUGCUAGAUGUCGACUGCGGAAAUAAUAAGCAUUUUGGUACCAAAACUGAUGUAUGGAGUGAGCACUCUAUUGCUUCUUAUUUCUCUAUGGUCUGGGCUAUCAAAACGCUGCCAACUUAUCUUGGUCUGACUCUAGAAGGACUUUCUUUAUACGGUUUCCCUUACUCCGAGGAAAUGAAGUAUGUUUAUCUUACCCACGUGACCGUAGAUAUUUCAUUUUUAUUUAUUUGAGUUGUGAAACUAUAAUGUACCCGCGUUAAAGAAAUCUGGUUCUUAAGCUUGCCUCUUUCAAAAUUUUAUACUUUUAGGGCCGGUACAGACGGACUGCAACUUGUAUGGGAACUGCACGUUGACGUUGCAGUUGGAGUGCAGUCGGCAUGCAGUUCCCAUACAAGUUGCAGUCGAGUUGCAGUCCGUCUGUACUGGCCCUUAUAAGCGUGGGUUAAUUUUUUGCGUCCAUGUUCGCUAUAGUCUAGUAUAUACCAUAGAUAAAACAGGAAAGGGGACGAGCGCUUCUCCAUACCCACGUAGUCUCAAUUUUCCUCUCUGGGUAUUUAUUUAUUUAAACUUUAUUGCACAAUACAUGAAGAGUACAAAUGGCGGAUUUAAUGCCAGAAGGCAUUCUCUACCAGUCAACCAUGAGCCGAAAGAUCCUAAUUAUUGACGUUAUGGAAAAUAUUUUGAAAUAAUUUGAAGUAUUUACCAUAGCUGGCAUAGCUACGUAUGUUUUAUUUUUCGAUUUUUUGAUUAUUUUAUAAAAAUAGGAGCGAGAAACAAAUACGAUAAAGAUCAUACAGGGGCAUAGCUGUGGUUGAUACGAGUAUACAACAAAUUGUGUCAAAAUAUUUUCAAUAAUGUUAAUAUCCAGGCAGGAAAAUGAGGAUUACGUUUGGUGGGGCAGCUGCCCCCCCCCCCCCCCUCUGCCUGUACCUGCCUACGUCCAUGCGAUUUGGUUCGGGUUCUCCACUUUAGUCUUAAACAUAAGAAAAAAAAACGAUGGGCCUUUGGCGCAGGUACCUUAUUAAUGAGGAUUUAUUAAAACUUACACUUUUGUACGUUAUAGCACUUUAUAUUAUAGCUUAAACUAUUAAACCGAAGAGAAUUAAGAAGACCAAGAGUGCUCACUCCAUACAACGGUUUUGUUACCAAAAAUACUAUUAUUUUCGUAGUUUACAUCUAGCGUUAAGUAGCGGAACUCUCAGUACUGCUAUCGAUGUCGCGGCAAACAAAACGUCAAAUGCUCAACGAUUUUCAGCAAUUAUUAUAAGCAGAGUAAGCGUAGGAGUUGAAAAUAGACUUCGGUAGGAAAAUAAUAGUAUUUUGGUAACAAAACAGUUGUAUGGAGUGAGCACUCUUGGUCUUCUUAAUUAUCUUUGAUGAAACCAAUUUAGCUCCGGCUUGCUUACAGAAGGUAGCCUUAAAUAUGUUUGUGAUCAGCAAUUCAUAUAUUAUAUUCAAAUACUUUAAGUAUUUAUUUAGACGCCUAGUUUUGUGAUAAUCUAGUGUAAUUAUUUUGGUUGAAAAAUAAACGGGUUAGUAAAAAAAAUGGUUUUAUUUUCAUAAGGUCAAUCGAGCAGGUAUAAGUGCAAAUAUGGGAUUGGGAUUAUUGUGUCUUCGUUAUUUCUCGAAUAGAAUUGGUCGUAAUGUAAUGUUACGUUAUAUUCACGUUAUUUAAAAAAAUAACUCAAAUAGACUCAACAACACCAUAGUUGCAAUUACCCCGGUCAUUUUGAGUCGACCGUACCACAAAGUAAAUAGCGGCGGCGCGCGCCGGAGCAGAGAGUUCGCUCAGUACAAAGUGCCAUUUACGCCGCACGCAGACGUGACAUUUACGCACACAGACGUUACAUUUACAGGCGUUCUCGGGCACUCUCGGGCAGAUCUUAGUCGGGCUGUGCGCGCGUUGCUCACUUGACGUCACCGCCGCUACGUAGGUACCUACUGUCAUGUACGUCAAAAUGCAGUCUCUAAGGAAUGUAAACAUGAUAAGAUGUAUGUAUAAACGAAUCUAUGUAUGUAUGUCUGUAAACUUAUAUUACCUACUCCUUUUUAUCCUCCUACUCAUAUAUAUCAUUGUCUAAGUACCCUCAACACAAACCUUAUUGAGCUUACUGUGGGACUUAGUCAAUUUGUGAAAUAAUGUCCCAUAAUAUUUAUUAUUUAUUUAUUUUUAAAAUUCGAAAUUAAUACAGUGAGUCGGGCAAGUUUAGGUAUAUAUUUUCAAGAACGGCGGGAACGGACCUUCUGUUUAUUUUUUAUUUUGUGACCGUACUCAAUAUCAAAUUGACAAUAGGAUCACUACUUAUCUUAUAUCUUAUACCUUUAAACGAGCAAUUCUUGUAUAUAUUUCUGUGAUCUCGAAAACGGCUCUAACGAUUUCGCUGAAAUUUGGUAUAUGGGGGUUUUUGGGGGUAUACAAUCGAUCUAGAUUAGUCUUAUGUUUGGGAAAACGCGUGUUUUCGAGUUUUCAUGUGUUUUUCUUUCGACGCAGAAUAUGGUCGCUAAUUUUGUGUUGCCGGCCACUGUCCGUCUGGUCCAGCGGGUUAAGAGUAAGACGCGGACGGCUAGAAACGAGUGUUACGGAUUCGAAUCUCGCCCGGUGACUAACUUUUGUUUUUUUUUUUAUAUAUGUUCAAGUUUACAUAUUUAUUUUUAUUGUUUUAGACAAGUUUAAUUUAGUAAAAAAAUGUAGUUAAGAUUAUCACCUAUACACCACCAUAUUACAAUAAAUAGUUAUAACCGAGCAACGCUCGGUCGCCCAGGUACUCAUUCUUAAUUUCAAAUCAGAAUGUGCAAAAAACUGUACCGUUAGGACGCUGCUUAGGCCUUUGAUUGAAAUUUGAAAAAUCAGUCUCCCAUACAAUUUUAUUAAUUGCGCGUCUUUUCUACCGAGAAAAUUGGCUUGUAAAUAGGUAUUACAAUAAUAGAGGUGACAUCUGAGGGCCUACCGCGAAAACCGAAAAUCGCAAAUUGCUGGGAUCUUUCUCUUUUACUCUCACUAAGACGUAAUUAGAGCGAGAGAGAAAAAUGCUCGCAAUUGACGAAUUUCGGUUUUCGCGGUAGGCCCUCUGAGACGUGACUCUUUGAAUGUAUGAUGAUAUUGAUGAUAUAUUCGUAUUUGUGACAUUUUAGAACAAGGGUCCCACUUAUCUAUUAUAUAGGUAAUUGUAAAGGGUCCAUCAGAAAUAAUAAAUAAAUAAAUAAUAACGGAGUUAACAGCAACAGUGCCUUAAAUAUUGAAAACAAGAAUUUUGGUAAAUUUUGCUUGGAACUACACAUCGCUAAACUUAAUUAAAAAGUCAAUUAGUUAAAACUCAAAUAAAACGGGCAAUUAUGCUAUUACUAUACAAUUAAGAUGCAUUUCUAAUUAAAAUUCUUAAGAAAAUGGUUGGACUCUCUAUUUCCCCCGUAUACCUUAUGUUUAUAUUUUAUGUCGCUUGGGCAGUAGGACAUCUAACGUCGUCGGAAACGAAACCUACAGAGUCAGAUCUAUGUGUUGGAAUAAAAGAUUCCCAUGGGAAGGUGUUUAAUUGUGCGACAAUUGGUCCAACGUCCGAAGAGAAAAAUCAUAUUGGCGGUAGAAUCCAAAGCAAGCAAGAGCAGAAUAUUUAUUAUUUUCUAAUGAAACCUACCAGAACGCAAAGAAUUUGGAAUGACCAAGGUAAUAAAUUUAAGAGAUACAGACGUUCAAUGAAGGGGGACGAAAAUUUGAGCCUGGAUAUGGGUCUAUGGGGUAAGGAUACUACUCUUUUAAUUAAAAAAGGUUUCCGACUCGCACUUGGCCGCUUUUUAUAUUAGUUUACAAAUUAAAUGUCUACUUUAACAGCACUCAGUUCAGGCAAUGAGACAAAUAACAUAGAACCAAUUAGAAACCGUUGGAGAAGCUGGAGAAAUAUUGAGCAGCAGCAUCGUGAAAGCAGUGGAGAAGACGAGGAAUGGGGUCGUCUGGAGAGUAAAACUCAAAGAAAGCAAAAGAAGACUACUUAUGAUUUAAGAAUGAAACCUACUAGAACUAAAAUAAUUUGGAAUGCAGAAGGAACAGGGAACAGGAAAAGACGUUCAAUGAAGGAAGAAGAAGAAAAUUUGAGACGGGAUAUGGGGCUCGACGACCCUGUUCUGGCGUCGCGCCGUACCAAGCGGGCCUGCCGCGCCCUGUGAAUCCCUUAGCGGAGCCCCGGAUCUCCGAUAUGGUGCUGGACCUCAUCUACAUUCUCAACAAGAAAUUUUGUUCGAUAGUUAUAUGUGGAUUUGUUUUCCUUGUUGUGUGACAAAAACUCUGUAUAUUUUAAAUAUAUAUAUAUUUUUAGUCAUUCAUUAAAAACAGUUAGCUUACAUUUAUUAUAAAUACAAUAUUGUUAUUAUUA